CCCUGCCCCGGUGGGCAUGCACACAAAAACAUCCCUGUCACCUGCACACAACAGGGGCAGUAAUUUACAAUAUUCCAUCGACAGUCCGAUUUGGGCAAUGGCAUUACUCAGAUAUGUUUAAUGACAAUAACUGAUCAUGCUAGCUAGUAGUAGGUAACAGUCAAUGAACUGGUUGAAGAAUUGGCUAAUUAGCUACCUAGCUAGUUAGAUAGCCCGCGGCUGGCUAAGAUUAGCUAAAACUAGAAGAGCCGUUCAUAGGCUGUGAGCUGAAUGACACCCAGAGAAAGGCAGUGUUUGAAAUAGAGGAGGAUUUGUUGGAGCAUCAGUUCUUUAUCCGAAUGAUGUGUCUGAGUGCAGAGGCCAGUAA